AUACGGAGGAUGCGAGCGUUAUCCGGAUUUAUUGGGUUUAAAGGGAGCGUAGGUGGGAUAUUAAGUCAGCUGUGAAAGUUUGGGGCUCAACCUUAAAAUUGCAGUUGAUACUGGUUUCCUUGAGUACGGUACAGGUGGGCGGAAUUCGUGGUGUAGCGGUGAAAUGCUUAGAUAUCACGAAGAACUCCGAUCGCGAAGGCAGCUCACCGGGCCGGAACUGACACUGAUGCUCGAAAGUGCGAGUAUCAAACAGGAUUAGAUACCCUGGUAGUCCGCACAGUAAACGAUGAAUACUCGCUGUUUGCGAUACACGGUAAGCGGCCAAGCGAAAGCGUUAAGUAUUCCACCUGGGGAGUACGCCGGCAACGGUGAAACUCAAAUGAAUUGACGGGG
rnacentral:rRNA from 1 species